AAUAGAUACCCAGGUAGUCCACGCCGUAAACGUUGGAUACUAGGUGUGGCGGUUAUACCAAUGACUGCCGUGCCGAAGCUAACGCAUUAAGUAUCCCGCCUGGGGAGUACGGCCGCAAGGCUAAAACUCAAAGGAAUUGACGGGUCCCCGCACAAGCGGCGGAGCAUGCGGCUUAAUUCGAUGCAACCCGAAGAACCUUACCUGGGUUUGACAUCACGGGAAAAGCUGUAGAAAUACAGUGUCCAUUAGGGCCCGUGACAGGUGGUGCAUGGCUGUCGUCAGCUCGUGUCGUGAGAUGUUGGGUUAAGUCCCGCAACGAGCGCAACCCUUGUCCUAUGUUGCCAGCGGUUCGGCCGGGGACUCAUAGGAGACUGCCGGGGAUAACUCGGAGGAAGGUGAGGACGACGUCAAGUCAUCAUGCCCCUUAUAUCCAGGGCUGCACGCAUGCUACAAUGGCCGGCACAACGGGCAGCGACCCCGCGAGGGUGAGCGAAUCCUAAAAAGCCGGUCCUAGUUCGGAUUGAAGUCUGCAACUCGACUU
rnacentral:rRNA from 1 species